rnacentral:rRNA from 1 species
CCUGCAAAACGAAUCUAAGUUCCCCCUUAACCCUCUUUUUCCCCCCCAGACAAACCCAACCCAAAUGUGAUAGUUAAGGGCUAUUUAAAGGGGGUACAGCCCCUUUAAAAAAGGACACAACCUCCACCAGCGGAUAACCCCUGUACGCCCAACCCCGUGGGCCUUAAAGCAGCCACCCCCAAAGAUUGCGUCAAAGCUCCAUCAACCAAAAACCCCCAAAACCAAUGCGACUCCCUACACCCACAGCAGGCCAACCUAUAACAAUAGAUGAGUCAAUGCUAGAACGAGUAACCAGGACACUACGUCCCCCUAAGCGCCAGCCUGUAUACCAUUAACAGUAAAACCUCAAUAAUAACCACCCCCACCAUUGAACCCACCCUGUCAACCCAACUCAGGGGCGCACACUGGAGUGAUCAAAAUCUACAAAAGGAACUCGGCAAACCUAAGACCCGACUGUUUACCAAAAACAUAGCCUUCAGCCAAACAAGUAUUGAAGGUGAUGCCUGCCCAGUGACACCAUGUUUAACGGCCGCGGUA